AACUACAACAGUGCUGGAGAGA
rnacentral:piRNA from 1 species